UACGUAGGGGGCUAGCGUUGUCCGGAAUCAUUGGGCGUAAAGCGCGUGUAGGCGGCUUGGUAAGUCCGGUGUGAAACCUUGGGGCUCAACCCCAAGCCUGCACUGGAUACUGCCUCGCUUGAGUCCGGGAGGGGAGAGCGGAAUUCCUAGUGUAGCGGUGAAAUGCGCAGAUAUUAGGAAGAACACCGGUGGCGAAGGCGGCUCUCUGGAACGGUACUGACGCUGAGACGCGGAAGCGUGGGGAGCGAACAGG
rnacentral:rRNA from 1 species